AGUGUCCGCGUCGUUGGUGGUUCACCGGCCCGCACGGGCCGGUGAGGCAAGAGGGAACCCGGUGGGAAACCGGGACUGCCCCGCAGCGGUGAGUGGGAACGACCGCCGUCAUGAGCACUGGGAGCGAUCCCGGGAAGCGACGGCCAGUAGGUGGGCACGCGAGUGUCCGGGCCCGCGAGUCCGAAGACCUGCCACCGGCGCGUGCGCCGA
rnacentral:ncRNA from 2 species